ACAGGAAGUUUUAGUUGCGACACUAAUAUAUUUUGAGACUGAAUCCCUUGGUGGCUGAAGGAAUAUUGAACAAAUUAACAGGGUAAUACCACAUAUUGGAGGACCUGAAAUUUCGUCUUCUAGAAAGCUGGGAGCAAACCAGCUUCGAACAAAUUAGCUGGUAAGUAUCAUUCUUUUUCAUUUCCAAUUCAUCAGAUAAAUUUCUUUUGAACAAGAGUACUUAAUAGAGAGUCACAUAGUAGUCUUGUUAUUUUUUUUUUUUCUGUUUCUUAUUUUUGUGAUUCAUUUCUUAUGGGGAACAGAAUAUAGAUUCCUUUUAAUAAUUGAACUUCAUCUUUUCCACUUUACUGUCGAUGUUGGGGAACAAAUCAGUUUGUAAGUAUCAUUCUUUUUUUUCUUUUCAAUUGAUCACAUCAAUUUCUUUUGAUCCAAUGUACUUAGUGCAAAGUUAUUUAGUAGUCUUGUGUUCCUUUUUCUUUAAUAAAUUCCUUAAAAGGUAGAAAAUAUUAUCUUUCAGUUAGAAACUAUUUUGAAUCCUAAGUAACAAAAUAGAAUAUAUUAAAUGUGGCUAAAUAUCAUUAAGGCAAAGUUAGACUCACACCAAUGCAUUCAGCAGUCUUCCCCUCAAUGGCACGUGACCUGCGGGCAGCCCUGAGGGGAUUCGUAGGGCUCUUGCGUUUCAUUACACUACAUGUGCAGUUCACUUAGCUGAUCCUUGCAGUUCAUUUCUCAGCUCAUGCUAGCGAAUCCUUGAAGAUUCUUGCUUCCUCUCCUCCCUCCCUCUUGGUCUGCUGGUUUCUCAGUAAGUAUUCGGUCAGGUACGUUAUUUCCACUGGUAUCUUCCAGUGUGACGGUGCCAAUUAGCAGCCACUUUUCGCGGUAGUCCCCACUUCCAGGGUUGUCAUGAAUAACGUCUGUAUAAUGCUAUAGGCAUCAGUCCCAAAGCUUAUCUAUUUGUGCUAACGGCUAUUUCCUAACGUGUAUUAUCGUUGGCCUCACGGUGUAGUCACUUGAGAUGUAGAUCGCGACGUUUCAACUUCUUACUGCUAGUCCUAUUCAGGCGAUGAGGUCGACUGAUUGCACGGCACCAUUUAUACCACGAAGGUCAGCUGUGAUUGGUGCAUUUCGAUCCUCCCAUUGUUCCAUUGUUCCGGCGAGUAACUGUUCUCUCAGCGGGCCGCUGUUGUACCGUUCUCCUGUUGUUGUGUAUUUUGAUAGUGGGUAUCCAUGCUUCGGAAAUUUCAAUUCCACUAACCCUGUUGAUGUUAUUAGGGUGAAGUCUUAAGUGGAUAGCUUCCCUGACCCCACUUGUGUACCAGUGAGGAUCUCGAUCAAUAAACUUGACUCUACCAAAUCGGAUAGUGGCCGGUCUCGUGGGCGUGUUCGGAAACGGCUGAAGUCUGGGCACGGGCGAAUCGUAUAUCCCUGUCGUGUUCUUUGAUCCUCUCCUGCAUAGGUCUCCCUGUUUCCCCGAUGUAAGACUUUGCCGCACUCGAAGG